CGUACACUCCUACGGGAGGCAGCAGUGGGGAAUAUUGGACAAUGGGCGCAAGCCUGAUCCAGCCAUGCCGCGUGAGUGAUGAAGGCCCUAGGGUUGUAAAGCUCUUUCACCGGUGAAGAUAAUGACGGUAACCGGAGAAGAAGCCCCGGCUAACUUCGUGCCAGCAGCCGCGGUAAUACGAAGGGGGCUAGCGUUGUUCGGAUUUACUGGGCGUAAAGCGCACGUAGGCGGACUAUUAAGUCAGGGGUGAAAUCCCGGGGCUCAACCCCGGAACUGCCUUUGAUACUGGUAGUCUUGAGUUCGAGAGAGGUGAGUGGAAUUCCGAGUGUAGAGGUGAAAUUCGUAGAUAUUCGGAGGAACACCAGUGGCGAAGGCGGCUCACUGGCUCGAUACUGACGCUGAGGUGCGAAAGCGUGGGGAGCAAACAGGAUUAGAUACCCGUGUAGUCCCAUGA
rnacentral:rRNA from 1 species